AACACUGUUAACCUGCGGUACCUGCGGAGGGAUCAUUGCUGGAACGCGCUUCGGCGCACCCAGAAACCCUUUGUGAACUUAUACCUAUUUGUUGCCUCGGCGUAGGCCGGCCUCUUCACUGAGGCCCCCUGGAAACAGGGAGCAGCCCGCCGGCGGCCAACUAAACUCUUGUUUCUGUAGUGAAUCUCUGAGUAAAAACAUAAAUGAAUCAAAACUUUCAACAAUGGAUCUCAGAUCGGA
rnacentral:misc_RNA from 1 species